CACCGAAGCUGCGGAUUGAUACCAAUGGUAUCAGUGGUAGGGGAGCGUUCUAAGGACAGUGAAGUCAGACCGGAAGGACUGGUGGAGUGCUUAGAAGUGAGAAUGCCGGUAUGAGUAGCGAAAGACGGGUGAGAAUCCCGUCCACCGAAUGCCUAAGGUUUCCUGAGGAAGGCUCGUCCGCUCAGGGUUAGUCAGGACCUAAGCCGAGGCCGACAGGCGUAGGCGAUGGACAACAGGUUGAUAUUCCUGUACCACCUCUUUAUCGUUUGAGCAAUGGAGGGACGCAGAAGGAUAGAAGAAGCGUGCGAUUGGUUGUGCACGUCCAAGCAGUUAGGCUGAUAAGUAGGCAAAUCCGCUUAUCGUGAAGGCUGAGUUGUGAUGGGGAAGCUCCUUAUGGAGCGAAGUCUUUGAUUCCCCGCUGCCAAGAAAAGCUUCUAGCGAGAUAAAAGGUGCCUGUACCGCAAACCGACACAGGUAGGCGAGGAGAGAAUCCUAAGGUGUGCGAGAGAACUCUGGUUAAGGAACUCGGCAAAAUGACCCCGUAACUUCGGGAGAAGGGGUGCUUUCUUAACGGAAAGCCGCAGUGAAUAGGCCCAAGCGACUGUUUAGCAAAAACACAGCUCUCUGCGAAGCCGUAAGGCGAAGUAUAGGGGGUGACACCUGCCCGGUGCUGGAAGGUUAAGGAGAGGGGUUAGCGUAAGCGAAGCUCUGAACUGAAGCCCCAGUAAACGGCGGCCGUAACUAUAACGGUCCUAAGGUAGCGAAAUUCCUUGUCGGGUAAGUUCCGACCCGCACGAAAGGUGUAACGAUUUGGGCACUGUCUCAACCAGAGACUCGGUGAAAUUAUAGUACCUGUGAAGAUGCAGGUUACCCGCGACAGGACGGAAAGACCCCGUGGAGCUUUACUGUAGCCUGAUAUUGAAUUUUGGUACAGUUUGUACAGGAUAGGCGGGAGCCAUUGAAACCGGAGCGCUAGCUUCGGUGGAGGCGCUGGUGGGAUACCGCCCUGACUGUAUUGAAAUUCUAACCUACGGGUCUUAUCGACCCGGGAGACAGUGUCAGGUGGGCAGUUUGACUGGGGCGGUCGCCUCCUAAAGUGUAACGGAGGCGCCCAAAGGUUCCCUCAGAAUGGUUGGAAAUCAUUCGUAGAGUGCAAAGGCAUAAGGGAGCUUGACUGCGAGACCUACAAGUCGAGCAGGGACGAAAGUCGGGCUUAGUGAUCCGGUGGUUCCGCAUGGAAGGGCCAUCGCUCAACGGAUAAAAGCUACCCCGGGGAUAACAGGCUUAUCUCCCCCAAGAGUCCACAUCGACGGGGAGGUUUGGCACCUCGAUGUCGGCUCAUCGCAUCCUGGGGCUGUAGUCGGUCCCAAGGGUUGGGCUGUUCGCCCAUUAAAGCGGUACGCGAGCUGGGUUCAGAACGUCGUGAGACAGUUCGGUCCCUAUCCGUCGUGGGCGUAGGAAAUUUGAGAGGAGCUGUCCUUAGUACGAGAGGACCGGGAUGGACGCACCGCUGGUGUACCAGUUGUUCUGCCAAGGGCAUAGCUGGGUAGCUAUGUGCGGAAGGGAUAAGUGCUGAAAGCAUCUAAGCAUGAAGCCCCCCUCAAGAUGAGAUUUCCCAUAGCGUAAGCUAGUAAGAUCCCUGAAAGAUGAUCAGGUUGAUAGGUUCGAGGUGGAAGCAUGGUGACAUGUGGAGCUGACGAAUACUAAUAGAUCGAGGACUUAACCAU
rnacentral:rRNA from 1 species